CCUACGGGUGGCUGCAGUGGGGAAUAUUGGGCAAUGGGGGAAACCCUGACCCAGCAACGCCGCGUGAAGGAAGAAGGCCUUCGGGUUGUAAACUUCUUUGACAGGGGACGAAACAAAUGACGGUACCCUGAAAACAAGCCACGGCUAACUACGUGCCAGCAGCCGCGGUAAUACGUAGGUGGCGAGCGUUAUCCGGAAUUACUGGGUGUAAAGGGCGCGUAGGCGGGGAUGCAAGUCAGGUGUGAAAUCUAUGGGCUUAACCCAUAAACUGCACUUGAAACUGUGUCUCUUGAGUGAU
rnacentral:rRNA from 1 species